rnacentral:lncRNA from 1 species
GAGCGGUAAUUGCCUCUACUUUAUUUUGUGUUAUAUAUUUUAAUGUUCUUAUAGGAGCAAAACAGAAAUAAAAGAGCCCACAGGUGUAUUUAUACCUUUUCCACAAAUGUCUUUCCUACAUACACAUGCCAAUGUUCAGGCCCCUGUUCAGGCCCCAAUUAACCGAAAUUCUGUAUUUUUAAAACUAAUCCACAAACCUUAACUAGAAUACUUCCGUUUUCAUCAGCUUUUUGUGCAGCUUUUAGGCUGGAAUCCCAACUUGAUUUGUGUGCAUAACUUGAUGAACACAGAUCUCAAGUUAGGAUUUGGCCCUCGUAUGCUAAAUUUAGUUCAAACCAAAUAAGUAAAAGACAACACAAAAAAUAUCUAUUUUUGUGUGCUUUUUUUUACUGACACUAACUGAUGUUUGUGAUGUUUUUCCCCACAAUGAUGUUUCCUGUGGUGGCUGAGAGCGAGACAGAGUCCAGCACCUUCUCCAGCCUGGGCUCCACUUUCAGAGACAAGACCUCCACAAAGCCACUUAUCAAGGUGCUGCCACUUUAGAGAAGAAACUCACAAGGAACCUCAUCUGGACAAAGGGUAAGUCAGAAGUUAUUUUCCCUCUCUUGGUUUCAUCAGUCUCCUUUUUCUGCUUUGGUGCCCAUGUAAGACUAAAGGCCAGAGAGAUGUUCAACAAUGGGCCCUGUGGAUAUUUCUCAGAACAUUUUAAAACAUAUGUAACACUUUUGUCCAUGUACUUAACUUUAUUUGUGUAAUCCAACCCUAAUAAUUGGACACCACUUUUUCCAAUAUAUGAUAAAACAUCUAUGUAUAUUUUGUCUGCUGUUGAGAACAUAACUUGUAUUCAUUUUCACGUGUGUUUUAAUAUAAUAAACAUGUCUGUGAAAAAU